ACACCAACAUAACAACAUCAUGAUUACAGGAUACAUUUAAGAUCUAAAAAAUCAUAGCUCAUGAUAGAAACAGUGCAAAUAAAACUAUUUUUCUGAACAUCCCAUGCCGUACCUCUGAUGUCUGCAACUUUUAAAUCAACUCUGACUCAAAUUCACGAAGUCUAUUUGCUUCCUUAUCUUCUGUUUGACAAGCAGAAGCUCGCAAAUUUAUAUUUGUUCUUCUUAAAUUUUGAAUUUUCUCACAUAAUUCAGGGAUCACCACCA
rnacentral:lncRNA from 1 species